rnacentral:piRNA from 2 species
UUACACUGGAUCUCUGCCGUGUCAAGGUGU